ACCCAGUAGCAGACAAACUUCACAUGCAGACAGGGGCGGGGAACCCACCGCGGGCCAGCCGGUCCGCACCGGGGGACGGAAUCGUCCCCCUCGGGGUGAAGCCUCCGCACCGAGGCCGGGCACAGUGAUCCUCCGCCCGAACCCGACAGCUCACCUCGCAGGCGUCAACAGGAGAGGAA
rnacentral:sRNA from 2 species